rnacentral:rRNA from 1 species
UACGGGGGGCGCGAGCGUUAAUCGGAAUUACUGGGCGUAAAGCGCGCGUAGGCGGCUUUGCAAGUCGGGUGUGAAAUCCCCAGGCUUAACCUGGGAACUGCAUUCGAGACUGCAUUGCUAGAGUAUGGGAGAGGGAAGUGGAAUUUCCGGUGUAGCGGUGAAAUGCGUAGAUAUCGGAAGGAACAUCAGUGGCGAAAGCGACUUCCUGGACCAAUACUGACGCUCAUGUGCGAAAGCGUGGGGAGCAAACAGG